rnacentral:rRNA from 7 species
UAACGACUCUCGGCAACGGAUAUCUCGGCUCUCGCAUCGAUGAAGAACGUAGCGAACUGCGAUACUUGGUGUGAAUUGCAGAAUCCCGUGAACCAUCGAGUCUUUGAACGCAAGUUGCGCCCGAAGCCAUUCGGCCGAGGGCACGUUUGCCUGGGUGUCA